rnacentral:tRNA from 1 species
CAGAUCACUUUAGGAGAAAAUUUCAUUUACAUUGAAAUUAUUGUCGUGCGAUUCGAUAUGAUUUGA